CAAACCCUGCCCUGGAGGGUCCUACAGAGCAAUGCCACCAGUGCCAGAUCCCGGUGGCUGUGAUCGGUCAUUCCAGCUUUGUGCUGGCUGCAGGUGGAUGAUGCCCAGCUGGCUGCCGAUGACUUCUGCACCAAGUGAGGCUGGGUCUCUGGAGCUGCCCCAGGGACUGGACAAGCUGACCCUGGCCGGAGCCAACCUGGAGAUGCAGAUUGAGAACCUCAAGGAGGACCUGGUCUACCUGAAGAAGAACCAUGAGGAGGUGAGGUCAGCUCAGGGAACGCAGCAGAAAUUCACCUGGAAGCAAGCGAGGCUGGGGCCCAGAACCUCCCUGGGCCGGGCCAUGUUUUCAGUCCAGUUCCCAUCUCUUAUGGAUGCCCAGCCCUGACCCUCAGAGGACCCUGAGUGAGGCCUGGAGGAGCCUCUCUUCCCAAAUAGACUUCAUUUGUCCCUUGAGGCUCAGCUCACUGAAGUUAACUAACUAAUGAGUAAGUCAGUGUAAGAACA
rnacentral:lncRNA from 1 species